rnacentral:rRNA from 1 species
GAUGAACGCUGGCGGCGUGCCUAAUACAUGCAAGUCGAACGCUGGAAAUCUAGCUUGCUAGAUUGAAGGAGUGGCGAACGGGUGAGUAAUACAUAAGCAACCUACCCACGAAGACUGGGAUAAUCUCUGGAAACGGGGACUAAUACCGGAUAGGUAAUCGGAAGGCAUCUUCUGAUUAUUAAAGGUUAAAAACACUGGUGGAUGGGCUUAUGGCGCAUUAGUUAGUUGGUGAGGUAACGGCCCACCAAGACGAUGAUGCGUAGCCGGCCUGAGAGGGUGAACGGCCACAUUGGGACUGAGACACGGCCCAGACUCCUACGGGAGGCAGCAGUAGGGAAUUUUCGGCAAUGGGGGAAACCCUGACCGAGCAACGCCGCGUGAGUGAUGACGGCCUUCGGGUUGUAAAGCUCUGUUGUAAGGGAAGAACGGUAGAUAGAGAAUAUCUAAAUGACGGUACCUUACCAGAAAGCCACGGCGAACUACGU